rnacentral:lncRNA from 1 species
ACUGCCACAGCAGUUUCAACCGAGCUUGCGAUAACCCGUAAAAUGUUUACCAAUUUGCUUUUAAAUAUUAUGCCAUUUUUGCUAUCGCUUUAAUAUUUCUUUUUCAUUUAACUUUAGCAAAAAUUACUAUAUGGUGCUUCCCAAUCAUAGGACGCCUUAUCUAUAGACUUUUCUUUUCAAAAAAAGACCCAUCAGAGAAAUGCUCUCACGUUGCAUAACGCAACUACGAUACAAGUGGUGCUAAAGAAAUCUUGUAUUCAUCAAAUUUUUGCUUGAGUAACUUCAGCGUUUAAAAUAAGCGAUAUCGGAGAUUAAUGUUUCGAUUCGUCGAGGUAAAACUCGUUUGGUCUAGGUUGCAGUAUUUCAACAUGCUUGUGUAAAGGGAACCAUUAAUAGUUUAGUGUAACAAAACGGAAAUAACUUGAUAAUUUAUUCUCCUAUAGUUGUGCACAAAACGUGUGUUGCUUCAACGUCUUCAAUAGAAUAAGGGUCCAUGUAUAUGGAGUUUUAUUUGUUUACCGGACUAGUCGUGCAAACUUACAAAUCAACCGAGAAGGUGACUUUUAAUACAGAACUCGUUGUCUUGCUGUUGUUGACAGCAAACGCUUCAAGUGGUCUGUAAGCUUAAGUUUCUAAGUUAAACUAAAUUUUAUUGGACCGAACACCAGCGCCCUCAUAGAGCACACUCCGCGAAUCACCGUACGACGGGUCCAACUGUUGCGAUCUCCGGGGAACUGAAAUGUUCGGAUACUCGAACAUUUUAGCUAGCCUAUUGACGACAUUUUCGUACGCACUCUUCAUGAAUGUUUAAAAGGCGGAAAACCAAUACGGACCCAGUCGUUUCAGGCCUUUACACAAGAUUGCGUUGGAAAGUGCCGCAUGCUUAUCGUGCAGUGCACAGAAGUCGUAAACGUUGAACCUUGGGACAACCCUUUUUGAAGAAAGGUCGCUGACUUGAACCUUCCCUUUCAAGUCUACGGCAUUUUACGUGGAUUCUUGCUAACACCAUUUCGGCUGAAUGCGGGACUCAGCUGCAACGCGAACUUAUGACAAAUACAGACGCACUAAAAAUGGAGUUGCAAGUCUACAACCAUCAUCGCCAUGUGCCGGUUGGCAGACAUGUUCGCCUGCUAGACGGAAGUGAACGAAACAUGGGGCGCUCAAUUUCGAAUCUAGGUGUAAACACAUCUCGUCUCAUGCUGGGGCUAGCCGCCUGAAAUGAUGUCUGUCAGCUUCAGUGUCGGGCGUAAAAGAUGAAAAAACAAUCAAAUGUUGGUUGAGGAUGUAGAAGUAAGAUGAUGGCGCUAUCUUGAGAGAUCGAUUUGCAGAAAAGCUCAUUACGUGACAGCUCUACAACCGAGUACAAAGCACACACGUUAAGAACAAAAUAUCACUCGCUAAGUGAUCGAAUCUACCAUUGUCUUCUUUUAGCAGCUUCUGCUUGAAGACUGAGUGACUAGUUAACGGAGAUUAGAAAUGUGAAGGCUAUGCAAUAUUACAUAAGGGUAACUAGCGGCCCACCAGGACGCAAACGUUUUCUAGGGUAUUGAAACUACUCGUAUCAAAUAGAUUUACUUGUCGUCGUCUUAAAACAUUUAAAGUCAGUUCUUGCAAGGUAGCUCAGGCUUGAAUUUUAAAGGCAAAGUAAUGUAGUAACUUUUUAUAGAAUAUUUUCAACUAGUAUAACGUAUUUUCGCUAAUUCUAGGUAUUACAGCGGUGGAUCUCCUUUUUCCCUAAAACGGUCACAUGUCGCUUUCCAACGUUUCUAACUAUUUGAUACAUCGUCUCGAUAGCACCGUGCUGAUAGCCUCUACUUCGUAAACAGCAGAGUAGACGACGGCGUUGGCUAUUCGUCACGCAUAAAACUUCUGUUUAGUCAGUUCGAUCAUAAGAUUUUCAUAUUAGCUUAGUUCGUUCGAAAAUCAUACGGCUAGCAACAAUUCUAAAGUACUACCUAUUAAAAUAUAUAAGAAAUUUCUGUUUAUGUAGCGGGUGGGCCGCUUCGUUUGGGCAUUUUACUCCAAUAAAUUUUAUACUGGUAAGUUGGCCCGUGCUCAUGGAUUAAACCAGUUUAGCCUGCCAAUAAGCUCGCUAACAAAGCCUGGAACGUAA